AUGACCACAUUAAUAUUAUUUUGUGCAAAACACUCAUGUAACGGGACAUUUUUCAUUACUAUAUGUAUUUAUUUUCAGUUUCUUUAAAAGGAUGGAAAAUCCAUGUAGCAGGAAUUCAUUUUAUGUUAGAAAGUAGUGAGGGCGGAACUUUGGUGGUUGCUCCGGGGUUUCGGGGUGCAGUAAGUGGAGCCCACCUUCCGCUGCUUCCUCAGACACGUUCUGGAGGAAAGCAGAGACGCAUCGUGUCUUCCUUACUCCGCUCUUCACCUGCUUUUACAGGUCGGUAAAUGGUGCUCGCACCGAAAACUUUGUUUAUUGUUACCAUGGUUACCCACGUUAACGCGAAUGAGAGAGUUAAGGCGGUCCGCCCGAGUUAUUUAUAUGUAAACACGGGAGAAACCAGAGGAGUGUCCCGUGCGGCCGCAUCGCGAGCCCGCUCGUUAAGUAGAGCGCUCGUGAAGCAGAGUCAGUACGCUCCUAUGCUCUGUGCAAAUGUGUUGUAAUGUUCCGAUCAAACCAGUUCUGUGAGAUGUGAAUGUUAAUAGUUAUGUUAAAGUGACUGAGUAGAUUAGCUAGUGUAACACAAGCACUCUGAGCAACUCUGUGUAGCUAACAGAGGCAUUCACAGUUAAUUAAAUAAGCUGGGUUUCAUGAUACACUAAAUAGUGAUUUUGCCAGUAAAUUACUGAAGGAAACAAAUGUGAUGUAUUUACUGAUGCUGUUAUUGAAUAUAACUGUUUAGCCAGUAAGACACUGUAGAAGACAAUGUGAUGUGUUUAUUGAUAUGGUAAAGGAAUGUAACUGUUAUGUAAAGAAGUGUGAAUUUGAGAAACUGAACCAGUUACAGAGAGUAUAUUUCACUGAGGUUGUGAAAUAAGUAAAUGUAAUUGAUGUGAAUGAGGAACCAACUGAUUAGUAUUUUGAAAGCUCAUGUUUAGUGUUAUAUAGCAUUUAUUUGUGUAAAAUAAAUCAGACUCAGACACGUUCUGGAGGAAAGCAGAGACGCAUCGUGUCUUCCUUACUCCGCUCUUCACCUGCUUUUACAGGUGGGCUUACCUUUCUUGGUUUGCCUGGUUUUAUUUAGCCCAUUCUGGACUAUUUUCUGCACUUCCGCUUCCAUGGCUGGCUAGAGCGACCUUCCGCUGUGUAUUGUGCUGGUGCUAGGAAUCCGACAUUGCCUCCGCUCUUUGGUCCCAGUUUGCGGGGAGCUGCAUGGGACUGUGAUUGAGGCUGUGACAAUCAUAACCAGCACCAGCUGUGGGUUGACUCGCAGAGUACAAGUAAUUCCUGUGUGUGUGAUUAAAGUGAACGGAGGACGCGCCAGUGGCCCUGGAACUGUAGGUGGUGGGUCGUUUUCACACUUUCCUUUUUUUUGUACAGCACUGGGUGCAGGCUGUAGUGAUUUCUCCAUGUGAUUUUCUUUUGGGUCCACAGCUGCUGUUAAGUCCUAGUUCAAUUACUGUUUUAUUGUAAUUUAUGACAAUUUCAGCAACGGCGCUACAUUCAGUUUUCCUACUGUUUUAUUCUUCAUUUAAUUUCUAGAAUUAUAAAUAAAACUGAGAUAUUUGUGCCAACCUGCGUCAGUGUGCAUCCCUGAACCUGUGUGUGGUUUUGAUGGUUAUUUUGUCAUGAUCCUGGGUCUUUUGACCCAGUGUUUUCUAUUAUUGUAAUGUAUUUUGGUUCUAGUUUUCUAUUUCUUUGGUUGUUGGUUCUGU